CCCCCGCUGCCCCGCUGAGUGUGCCCCCCCUGGUGCCCGCGGGUGUACCCCAGCUCGCCCCGGGCCAGCAGCUGAUCCUGGCCCCGGGGGCGGGGCCGCUGGGCUCCAUGGCUAUACCCCAGGUGCUGCAGCCCGUGUCUGUGGCGUCCAACGUGUCGCCCGGCAACGCCGCCGGCCAGCCCAUCUUCAUCACCACCCAGGGCUUCCAGGUCCAGAAUGCGGUAGCUGGACAGAAUGCAGUCAAGCCUGUGGGGUUCCUGCUGAACGGCCCAUCCAUCGCGCUGUUGCCCGCCGCGGGUCCCCAGUUCUUCAAGCCGACGGUGG